UCCAGAGGUGGCAAGCGUUGUUCGGAAUUACUGGGCGUAAAGGGCGCGUAGGCGGCCUUCUAAGUCAGACGUGAAAUCCCCCGGCUUAACCUGGGAACUGCGUCUGAUACUGGGAGGCUUGAGUAUGGGAGAGGGAUGUAGAAUUCCAGGUGUAGCGGUGAAAUGCGUAGAUAUCGAGAGGAACACCUGCGGCGAAGGCGGGUUGCUGGGCUGACACUGACGCUGAUGCGCGAAAGCCAGGGGAGCGAACGGG
rnacentral:rRNA from 1 species